UAAACUUGUAUUAUUAGUAUUUAUUGAUAUUUAUGUUUAUAAUAAAAGUAAUUUUUAUAUAAUUUGUUUAAGUAUAUUUUGUUGAAAUGAUUAUUUUGAUUAUAGUAAAUUAGUAAUGUAAAUGGGUUGCUUACUUAUUGAAUAAGUCUAUUUAGUUUAUAGUACCUUUUGUAUCAGGGUUGAUCUAAAUAAUUUUAUUGAUUUAAUUUUCUCGAAUUUAAAUUGAUUUAUUUACAAAUUAUAGUUAAUGUAAAAUAAUUAUUAAUAAUUUGUAAAUAGAAGUGAAAUGUUAACGGUUUUUAAGUUAUCUAGUUUCUUAAGAAUAAAUUUAAUUUGAUUUAUAUUUUUAAUUUAUUAUGUUGAUAAUAAUUUAUUAAUAUAAUUUUAGUGUUUAGGGGAUAAGCUCUAAUUAAAUUCUAUAAUUUGAAUAUAAAUAUAAUAAUAGUAGGCUUUAAAUCAGCCAUUUUUAGAAUACGUUUUAGUUUAUUAUUUAAUAUAUGAUUUAUAUUUAUUUAGUUUAUUUAUUAAGAUAUAAUUAUUAACUUUUUUAAUUUAGUAAUAAUGAUUGAAUUAGUAUAUAUUUGUGUCUAUGAAAUUGAAUAAGUUAAUUUAGUUUAAGGAAUUAGGCAAUUUUAUUCCCGCCUGUUUAUCAAAAACAUGUCUUUUUGAUUAUAAUAUAAAGUCUGUCCUGCUCACUGAUGAAUUGAAUAGCCGCGGUAUUUUGACCGUGCAAAGGUAGCAUAAUCAUUAGUCUCUUAAUUAGGGGCUGGAAUGAAUGGUUUGACGAGGAAUAAACUGUCUUAAAUUGAUAUAUGGAAUUUAAUCUUUGAGUCAAAAAGCUCAAAUUUAAUUUGAGGACGAGAAGACCCUAUAGAGCUUUAUAUGAAUUUUUUAUAUAAUAUUAUGAUUAUUUAUUUAUAUAUUAUAGUUGAUAUUAUGUUGGGGUGACAAAGAGAAUAAUUAAACUCUCUUUUUUAAUAUCAUAAAUUUAUGUUUCAAUGAUCCGUAAAUUACGAUUAUAAGAUUAAGUUACCUUAGGGAUAACAGCGUAAUUACUAUAAAGAGUUCAUAUCGACAUAGUAGAUUGCGACCUCGAUGUUGGAUUAAGACAAAUAUACGGUGCAGAAGUCGUAUAAUUAGGUCUGUUCGACCUUUAAAUUCUUACAUGAUCUGAGUUCAGACCGGCGUGAGCCAGGUCGGUUUCUAUCCUAAAUUUAAUUAAUUAUAUUAGUACGAGAGGACCAUAUAGUUAGGAUAAUUCUUUUAUACAUGAUUAUUAUUAAU
rnacentral:rRNA from 1 species